CCUACGGGUGGCAGCAGUGGGGAAUAUUGCACAAUGGGGGAAACCCUGAUGCAGCGACGCCGCGUGAGUGAAGAAGGAAUUCGUUAUGUAAAGCUCUAUCAGCAGGGAAGAAAAUGACGGUACCUGAGUCAGAAGCACCGGAUAACUACGUGCCAGAAGCCGCGGUAAUACGGAGGGGGCAAGCGUUAUCCGGAUUUAAUGGGUGUAAAGGGAGCGUAGACGGCAGUGCAAGUCUGGAGUGAAAGGCGGGGGCUCAACCCCCGGAGUGCUCUGGAAACUGUACGGCUGGAGUGCAGGAGAGGUAAGUGGAAUUCCUAGUGUAGCGGUGAAAUGCGUAGAUAUUAGGAAGAACACCAGUGGCGAAGGCGGCUUACUGGACUGUAACUGACGUUGAGGCUCGAAAGCGUGGGGAGCAAACAGGAUUAGAUACCCCAGUAGUC
rnacentral:rRNA from 1 species